rnacentral:rRNA from 1 species
CCCGCUGAACUUAAGCAUAUCAAUAAGCGGAGGAAAAGAAACCAACAGGGAUUGCCCUAGUAACGGCGAGUGAAGCGGCAACAGCUCAAAUUUGAAAUCUGGCCCUCGGGUCCGAGUUGUAAUUUGUAGAGGAUGCUUUUGGCGCGGUGCCUUCCGAGUUCCCUGGAACGGGACGCCUUAGAGGGUGAGAGCCCCGUACGGUUGGACACCAAGCCUCUGUAAAGCUCCUUCGACGAGUCGAGUAGUUUGGGAAUGCUGCUCUAAAUGGGAGGUAAAUUUCUUCUAGAGCUAAAUAUUGGCCAGAGACCGAUAGCGCACAAGUAGAGUGAUCGAAAGAUGAAAAGCACUUUGAAAAGAGGGUUAAAUAGCACGUGAAAUUGUUGAAAGGGAAGCGUUUGCGACCAGACUUUUUCCUAGCGGAUCAUCCGGUGUUAUCACCGGUGCACUUUGCUAGGUCAAGGCCAGCAUCGGUUUCCGUAGGGGGAUAAAAGCUUGGGGAAUGUAGCUCCCUCGGGAGUGUUAUAGCCCCUCGCAUAAUACCCUUAUGGGGACCGAGGACCGCGCUUUUUGCAAGGAUGCUGGCGUAAUGGUUGUCAACGACCCGUCUUGAAACACGG